AAAUCGAGCUUCCUGUUCAUGUCCAUGAGAAGCAUCAUGUUCUCUUUACUUUCUACCACAUAAGCUGUGAGCUUGGCAACAAAACCACCACCAAGAAACGGGAUGGAGUGGAAACACUGGUGGGUUACUCCUGGGCUCCUUUAUUGAAGGAUGGCAGAAUACAGUCCUCAGAGCUACAACUUCCUGUGUCUGCUAAUCUACCAGCUGGUUACAUCUAUGACAAAAGCCAAGACUCAGAGAAGUGUUUUCCAUACAUCAAAUGGGUGGAGAAUG